AAAACAACCAUUUCCUCUCUGCCGAGGGGGGGCUGCACACGCACAUGCACGUCCCUGCGGCAGGCUCUCUGCUUUCCAGGACUGGCUGUUUCGUGGCAGAGGCACAGCGCAGGGGCUCACGCGGUGAGAAGCUGAACCGCUCCUGGCACAGCUCCCCGCGGCCCUGCUCAGAGUCCGGCUGCUGGUUUUGCUCUGUGGCGCUGGUUCUAAGGAGCGAGGCGGGACAGACCCCCACGUUGCCGCCCACCUCUCCGGUUUCUUGUGGAAAGAAGAGGCCUUGCUUCCCAGGAAGACGGCGCACGCACGACUCUGGACUCUUGCUGGUGCCCCAGCUUCCUCCCCAGGAUGGGCCGAGGGGCUGGCUGCAGCUCAGGCCUGGCCCUGCUCCAGGUGCAGGAGGCAGGGUAAGGAGGGCCCGAGGUGAGCUCAACUGCACCUGUCACAUGGGCCUUCCCGAUGCCGCUGAGAAUGAGCGGUGAUGUCCUCUAGCAGCCCCUAGCUGGUCUCGGCUCUCCCUGGCCACAGCAGCAGACCGGGGCUGGGACUUUCUCCACGACAAGCGGACAGCACUGGCAGCCAGCGAUGACUGUCCAGAAACUGGUGGCCACGGCAGUGCUGGUGGCCCUGGUCUCUCUUGUCCUCAACAACGUGGCAGCCUUCACCCCCAACUGGGUAUACCAGACGCUGGAGGACGGGCGCAAGCGGAGUGUGGGGCUGUGGAAGUCCUGCUGGCUGGCGGACAGGGCCCGGGGAGGGUCGAGCCCCGGGGCCCGGCCCGGGCAGGCGGACGCACAGGGCUGUGAAGCUCUGGGCUGGGGCUCGGAGGUGGCAGGCUUCCAGGAGGCUCGAGGCACCGUCAAACUGCAGUUUGACAUGAUGCGCGCCUGCAACCUGGUGGCCACGGCAGCACUCGCUGCGGGACAGCUCACCUUCGUCCUGGGGCUGACGGGCCUGCCCCUGAUGUCGCCCGAUUCACAGUGCUGGGAGGAGGCCAUGGCUGCUGCGUUCCAGCUGGCGAGCUAGCUUCGGCCAGAUGCCGGGUAGUCUACCGAGUCCUUCACGAUGCCACACUGAUCCCAAACAACCUGGUCUUAAAUCUGGAAGAGGUGAGUCAGCUCUAAGACCGCAGGCAGAACAGAAAGCAUCAACGAGCUGUGUAAAACUGGCGCCACCCCCGCAAACCCUGGACUGCCUGACCACAUCUGUAAGGACAGUCUGCCACCUGCACCCGCCUGGAUGCUUCCUGAUGCUGCACAGCUUGACCCCGCGCCACCUGGCGGCAGUGAUUCCCAGAAAACUGACACGGGGGCCCGGCCCGUGAGUACCAUGCAAAGCCAGGGUCCGACCCCAGGCCCGCUGGUUGCUUCCCCCAUAUGAGACUGCCUCCUGCUAACAAAUGUUCAGCCUUGCUGCUUUCGACCUUCCAGAGUGUGGUGAUCAGUGUGGAGUUUGUCUCCAGCAAGAACAAACAGUGGACUGGGGCUGGUGCUUUAAAAAACAUAAAGCAACUGAGAAUGACCGAGAAGCAUCUAGGGCCUGACUCUUUACAGUAAGCUCAGCACCCACUGUAGAAGUACCCGGAUUACGCCCGACACCAGCACGCGUGUGGGACACUCAAGUCUGACCUUCCUCCCUCUGAGCCUCUGUCCACAAAGGACUCCCCACUGACCCCGAAUCACAUGCUACAAAGAAUAGCCUUCUAAAAAAAAACAGUGAAAUAUUUAAGAUAAUACGACUUCACAGUAUUACAUACACGACUUUGUAAGGGUACAUGGAAGUCCUCAAGAUGACCCUGUGGUUGAUCACGGUCUGUGACUGUGUUUAUAUUCAACGGAAAGUGACCAGAGGAAGGCUGGACUGUGCCAUCCAGACUCCGGGGUUCACCUCCCAAACCAAGAGCCCUCUUGUCCACAGCCACAGCCAGUGUGCAAAAGGCUCCUCCAUCAAAAACAAGGCAAGAAUCCCCGAUGCAAGGAGAGGCGUCCUCGUCCCUCAGUGUCACUGCACCAGAGAAGCAGACCUCUGGAGCCGGUCAUCACUAUGCUGUCUGCACUCCUGCCGUGCGUUCAUCCCCAGAGGUGCUCUCCCCCUCUCCCCCCUGCACGCCCUGCUUUUGUUUCUGUGCACUGGCACUGCCCUCCAGCUGCCUGGAUCAGUGACUCAGGACUUCCCUGCAUGCAGUGCUUGACCACCCUCCCCAUGUCCCGUCUUGGUGCUCAGGCUGGCAGGGCUGCUCUUUUCCUCCCGAGGAUCUCCAUUCAGCCAGACUUCCUUCUGAGACUCAGGCUUGUCUUUACAGGCCCUCUUGUUGCCCUCAGAUGCCUCAAACUCAACAGUGGAUGCCCCAUCAUCCCCGCAAAGGCUCCUCACCACGUUUCCCUUUCCACCAACACACUGCUGCGGGGGGUAGAACCAGCCCCUGCCUGUCCGUGCCCACACCAGCCAAUCCCAACCCUCAGGAUGGCUGCGAUGGGCACCAAGGGGACCCACCACUGAGAAGCAAUCUUAGAAAGUUCCUACAUUAUACUCCUGCCUCGUCUCUGCGCCAACAUUGGCACCUGUGUGGUGGCCCACUGCCCGUGGCAGCCUUGGCCUCGCCCCUCUGCCACGGAUGGCAGACCCUUGGCCAGGCCAGGCUCUGUCACCAGCUCGCACUCUGGGUGUCUCUGCCUGUGCCUCCCUGCCGCACGCUCGUCUGGCGGGUUCACAGCUCCGUGGGAGCCUCCUGACCAGUGGCAAGCCCAGCACCACCCGGCAGUUUGACUCAAUCCUAGAUGGGUGUCUGUUCAUCCACACAGAGGGGCCGGGCUCUCCUGUUUAACCACCGGCCUCUGUCCACUGUGCCCAGAGAAGCACCUGGUUCACGAAAGGCAACCAGUAACGUGGUCAUGAAUGAAUGGAUUCACGAGCAAACACCCAUGGGCGGCAGGGACCACUGUCUGCCGAGGACAGACGUGCCCAGGUCAAUGCCCUUCAGACCCUACCCUCAGCUGUCGUCACAGCCUUUAUUUCUCUAAGCCAGAGCUCAGAGGUCCUUGCAAGCCCCUUGUGCCAGGAGAGCACAGCUGGCUGAUGAAAAGGGACAGAAGCGAGAAGAGGUGCAGAGCCCUGCACAGGAAGGACUGCGGUUUCAGAGGAAUUAGGGACCGGGGAUACGUGGGGGCUCAGGCCUCGUGGUGGAAGGGGAGGUGGGGCUGCAGGGCUGUGAGCACAGAUGGGCACAGCCCGAGAAGGACGGCGGUCUUGGGAGGGCGCUGCUGACCUCCACCCACCUUGCUGAGGAGGACGCUGAUCUUGCUGCCGCUGGCGUUACACCUGAGCGAGGCCAUGCCCGCUGUGCCCGGGAUCAGCGCGGCCACGUUCUUGUCGCUGCAGUGCACUUUCGCCUCCCUGCGGGGGGACACAAGGGUCUCAGGGCAAAGCACAAGCCCGUUCCUCGGGCAUUCACCCUCCCCGUAUGUGGGGAGCGCGCAGUCCCAGGACCGGCUCUCUGAGUGACUGGAAACUUUCAUUCACACAACUUGCGGCUCCUUGAAGGCCAGCCAUGCUCACUCUGGGGGUCUGGACACCCCAGGAGAAGGGCCAGCUCAGAACACAGGGCGAGCUUAAAACUUUAAA